CAGUAGCCACGGGAAUACGAAGGGUGCAAGCGUUACUCGGAAUUACUGGGCGUAAAGCGUGCGUAGGUGGUGGUUUAAGUCCGUUGUGAAAGCCCUGAGCUCAACCUGGGAAUUGCAGUGGAUACUGGGUCACUAGAGUGUGGUAGAGGAUAGUGGAAUUUCCGGUGUAGCAGUAAAAUGCGUAGAGAUCGGAAGGAACAUCUGUGGCGAAGGCGACUAUCUGGGCCAACACUGACACUGAGGCACGAAAGCGUGGGGAGCAAACAGGAUUAGAUACCCCUGUAGUCCCUGUCUCUUAUAC
rnacentral:rRNA from 1 species